rnacentral:rRNA from 1 species
UACGGAGGGAGCGAGCGUUGUUCGGAAUUACUGGGCGUAAAGCGUGCGCAGGCGGCUUAGCAAGUCAGAAGUGAAAUCCCAAGGCUUAACCUUGGAAUUGCUUUUGAAACUGCUUUGCUUGAGUAUCGGAGAGGUUGGCGGAAUUCCCAGUGUAGAGGUGAAAUUCGUAGAUAUUGGGAGGAACACCAGUGGCGUAAGCGGCCAACUAGACGAUAACUGACGCUCAUGCACGAAAGUGUGGGGAUCAAACAGG